rnacentral:rRNA from 1 species
AGCGGCGGACGGGUGAGUAACGCGUGGGUAACCUGCCCUGUACACACGGAUAACAUACCGAAAGGUAUGCUAAUACGAGUUAAUAUACUUUUAUCGCAUGGUAGAAGUAUCAAAGCUCCGGCGGUACAGGAUGGACCCGCGUCUGAUUAGCUAGUUGGUAAGGUAACGGCUUACCAAGGCGACGAUCAGUAGCCGACCUGAGAGGGUGAUCGGCCACAUUGGAACUGAGACACGGUCCAAACUCCUACGGGAGGCAGCAGUGGGGAAUAUUGCACAAUGGGCGAAAGCCUGAUGCAGCAACGCCGCGUGAGCGAUGAAGGCCUUCGGGUCGUAAAGCUCUGUCCUCAAGGAAGAUAAUGACGGUACUUGAGGAGGAAGCCCCGGCUAACUACGUGCCAGCAGCCGCGGUAAUACGUAGGGGGCUAGCGUUAUCCGGAAUUACUGGGCGUAAAGGGUGCGUAGGUGGUUUCUUAAGUCAGAGGUGAAAGGCUACGGCUCAACCGUAGUAAGCCUUUGAAACUGGGAAACUUGAGUGCAGGAGAGGAGAGUGGAAUUCCUAGUGUAGCGGUGAAAUGCGUAGAUAUUAGGAGGAACACCAGUCGCGAAGGCGGCUCUCUGGACUGUAACUGACACUGAGGCACGAAAGCGUGGGGAGCAAACAGGAUUAGAUACCCUGGUAGUCCACGCCGUAAACGAUGAGUACUAGCUGU